UACGUAGGGGCCAAGCGUUGUCCGGAUUUAUUGGGCGUAAAGAGCUCGUAGGCGGUUCGGCAAGUCAGCUGUGAAAUCUCCACGCUCAACGUGGAGGGGUCAGCUGAUACUGCUGUGACUCGAGUCCGGGUGGGGGGAGUGUGGAAUUCCCGGUGUAGCGGUGAAAUGCGCAGAUAUCAGGAGGGAACACCGGUGGCGAAGGCGGGUCUCUGGGCCGAUACUGACGCUGGAGGAGCGAAAAGCAUGGGGGAGCGAACAGG
rnacentral:rRNA from 1 species